rnacentral:rRNA from 1 species
AAAAAGUUAGUGGUGAAAUCCCAGAGCUUAACUCUGGAACUGCCAUUAAAACUUUUCAGCUAGAGUAUGAUAGAGGAAAGCAGAAUUUCUAGUGUAGAGGUGAAAUUCGUAGAUAUUAGAAAGAAUACCAAUUGCGAAGGCAGCUUUCUGGAUCAUUACUGACACUGAGGAACGAAAGCAUGGGUAGCGAAGAGGAUUAGAUACCCUCGUAGUCCAUGCCGUAAACGAUGUGUGUUAGACGUUGGAAAUUUAUUUUCAGUGUCGCAGCGAAAGCGAUAAACACACCGCCUGGGGAGUACGACCGCAAGGUUAAAACUCAAAUGAAUUGACGGGGACCCGCACAAGUAGUGGAGCAUGUGGUUUAAUUCGAAGAUACGCGCAGAACCUUACCAACACUUGACAUGUUCGUCGCGACUCUAAGAGAUUAGAGUUUUCGGUUCGGCCGGACGAAACACAGGUGCUGCAUGGCUGUCGUCAGCUCGUGUCGUGAGAUGUUGGGUUAAGUCCCGCAACGAGCGCAACCCUCACUUUUAGUUGCCAUCAUUAAGUUGGGCACUCUGAAAGAACUGCCAGUGAUAAGCUGGAGGAAGGUGGGGAUGACGUCAAGUCCUCAUGGCCCUUACGUGUUGGGCUACACACGUGCUACAAUGGUAUCUACAACAGGAAGCAAGACUGCGA